rnacentral:rRNA from 1 species
AAUCAACGCUGGCGGCGUGCCUCAGACAUGCAAGUCGAACGAUUAAAGCUCUCUUCGGAGAGUGUAUAGAGUGGCGCACGGGUGAGUAACACGUAAGUAAUCUACCUUUGAGUGGGGAAUAACCCGGGGAAACCCGAGCUAAUACCGCAUAAUGCAGCGGCACCGCAAGGUGACAGUUGUUAAAGGAGCAAUCCGCUUAAAGAGGAGCUUGCGGCAGAUUAGCUAGNGGUAAGGUAAUGGCUUACCAAGGCUUCGAUCUGUAUCCGGCCUGAGAGGGCGGUCGGACACACUGACACUGAAUAACGGGUCAGACUCCUACGGGAGGCAGCAGUCGGGAAUUUUGGGCAAUGGGCGAAAGCCUGACCCAGCAACGCCGCGUGAAGGAUGAAGUAUUUCGGUAUGUAAACUUCG